GUUGUAAGUUAUCAGAAAACGCAUGCUGUCGUAGCAGAUCUCCACUGGGGCUACAUGGUUCAUUAUGGUAAACCAGAGAGGGUGUGUGUGCCUGCCUGAUGGAAACGUGAGAACAUUAAGCUCAACAAAAGGUUAAAGGACUGUCAUCUUCACAGCAUCAUCUGUGCCAGCCUAAAAUAACUGCCAUGGGUCUUGGUAAAUGUCACUACUCCUUCAAAAGAGAGCAGAAGAACAGCCAUCAUGCUAAGCUAAAAAAAAAGUUUAUGUAACUAUAAAAUGUCCUGAUAUACACUGA
rnacentral:lncRNA from 1 species